AGUAAUACAUAAGUAACCUGCCCUAGACAGGGGGAUAACUAUUGGAAACGAUAGCUAAGACCGCAUAGGUACGGACACUGCAUGGUGACCGUAUUAAAAGUGCCUCAAAGCACUGGUAGAGGAUGGACUUAUGGCGCAUUAGCUGGUUGGCGGGGUAACGGCCCACCAAAGCGACGAUGCGUAGCCGACCUGAGAGGGUGACCGGCCACACUGGGACUGAGACACGGCCCAG
rnacentral:rRNA from 1 species